rnacentral:rRNA from 1 species
UACGAAGGGGGCUAGCGUUGCUCGGAAUUACUGGGCGUAAAGCGCACGUAGGCGGCUUUGUAAGUCAGAGGUGAAAGCCCGGAGCUUAACUCCGGAAUUGCCUUUGAGACUGCAUCGCUUGAAUCCAGGAGAGGUGAGUGGAAUUCCGAGUGUAGAGGUGAAAUUCGUAGAUAUUCGGAAGAACACCAGUGGCGAAGGCGGCUCACUGGACUGGUAUUGACGCUGAGGUGGCGAAAAGCGUGGGGAGCAAACAGG